GCCUGGGUGGCUCAGCAGUUGAGCAUCUGCCUUUGGCUCAGGUCGUGAUCCUGGGGGUCCAGGAUCGAAUCCUGAAUCAGGCU
rnacentral:tRNA from 1 species